UUUUUUUUUUUUUCAACAUAGUAUUAGAAGUCCUAGACACAGCAAUUAGGCAAGAAAAAAGAAACAAAAGGCAUCUCAAUUGGAAAGGAUUAAGUAAAACUAACACUAUUUAUAGAUGACAUGAUAUUAUACAGAGAAAAUCCUAAAGACUCCAUCCAAAACUGCUGAACUAAUAAAUGAAUUCAGUAAAGCCAAAGCAUGCAAAAUCAAUAUGCAAAAUCUGUUGGUUUCUAUACACUAAUAACCAAUUAUCAGAAAGAAAAAUUAAGAAAACCAUCCCAUUUCCGGUUGCAUCAAAAAGGAUAAAAUGCCCAGGAAUAAAUUUAACCAAGGAGGUGAAAGACAUGUAUUCUGAAAACUCUAAAACAUUGAUGAAAAAAUUGAAGACAACACAAAUAAAAGAAAAAUAUACUAUACUCAUGGAUUGGAAGAAGUAACAUUGUUAAAAUUCCAUACUAACCAACAAUCUACAGAUUCAACACAAUCCCAAUCAAAAUAGCAAAGGCACUUUUCACAGAAAUAGAACAAAUAAUCCUAGGUUUGUAUGAAUCUACAAAAGGCCUCAAAUAGCCAAAGAAAUCUAGAGAAAGAACACAGCUGCAGGUAUCACAUCCCAAUUUCAAAUCAUAAUACAAAGCAAUAGUGACCAAAAGAGUAUGGUACUGGCACAAAAACAGAUAAGGUAACAGAAUAGAAUCCAGAGGUGUACCUACACUUAUAUGGCCAAUUAAUCUAUGACAAAGGAGUCAAGAAUAUACAAGGGGGAAGGACAGUAUCCUCAAUAAAUGGUGCUGGGAAAACUGGACAGCUACGUGUAAAAGAAUGAAACUGGACCAGUUUCUUACAUCGUACAUAAAAACAAACUCCAAAUGGAUUAAAGAUCUAAUUGUAAGACCUGAAACUAUAAAACUACUAGAAAAAAAAACAUAGGCAGUAAAAUCUUUCACACUGAUCUUUAGACAACAGAAGGAAAAAUAAACAAAUGAGACUUCAUCAAACUAAAAGCUUUUGCAUAGCAAAGAAAACCAUCAACAAAAUGAAAAAGCAACCUACUAAGUGUGAGAAGAUAUUCGCAAAUGAUAUAUCCAAUAAGUGGUUAAUAUCCAAAAUAUAUAAAGAACUCAUAUAACUCAAUAUAAAAAAACACAAACAAUCCAAUUAAAAUAUGCAGAGAACGGAAUAGACAUUUUUCUAAAGAAGACACACAGAUGACUAACAGACACAUAAAAGAUGCUCGACAUCAACAUCAGGGAAAUGCAAAUCACAACCACUCUUGAACACUUAGAGGCCAUUGUAGGCUAUUAAUUGGCCUAAUUUCAAUAUA
rnacentral:lncRNA from 1 species